UUUUUUUUUCUGAAGGAGAAGAACAACAAAUAUUUCCAACUGAGAAGAGCAGCUUUGAGUCUUUCCAAAGAAUUUGCUUCUAGCAGGCUGCCUCAGGAUUCCAGACUUGCACUGCAUCUUCCACAGUUGUGAAAUCUGUCACAAUAGGAAGCAUCUCCUUUUGUGACCUGGCACUCACUAAAGUAUUCUGACCUUAUGCAUGAAAACCUCCUGGGAUUUAACACAAGGACAGCUCCAUUCAAGAAGAGAAAGCCUUUGUUCCUCAUGGCAAGAUGUCCGAAGGAAAGAAGGCCAAGGGGAAGAAGGUGAUCCUUAACUCCUCUGUCAUGAAGAAACAGGAGGCCAAAAACAUGGUGAAUUAUCUGUUUGUAAAAAGUCCUCACAACUUUAGCGUUGGAUAGGACAUCAUCCCAAAAGGAACCUCACUUGCUUUGUCAAAUGAUCCCACCCUAUAAGGCUGCAGUGGCAAAGGGUCAUCCUCUGUAAGUGGCUCCAAGUACCUGGCGCCAUUAACCAAUUCCCCCAGGCCCUGGAAUAGCAAACAGCUACCUAGAUGCCUAAGCUUGGCCACAAGUAUGGACCAGAGAUGAGGAUAAGAAGCCAAGAGUGCUGACCCAUGCUAAGAAGAGGGCUGGUGGCAAAGGGGGCGUCCUCAGUAAGAAACCACCUAACCUUGGAGCAGGAGUCAAUAUGGUCACUACUCUGGUGGAGAACAAGAAGGCUCAGCCAGUGGAAAUCCCCCAUGCCGAAGACCCCCUUGAGCAAGUGGUCUUGCUGCCUGCUGUGUGUCUCAAGCUGGGAUUGCCCCCCUGCAUCAUCAAGGGAAGGCCAGGCUGGUCCACAGGAAGACAUGCACCACUCUUGUCUUCGGAAGACGAAGGUGCUCCGGCUAAGCCGGUGGAAGCUAUCAGGACCAACUACAAUUACAGAUAUGGUGAGAUCUGCCGUCACUGGAGAGGCAAUGUCCUGGGUCAAAAAUCUUAGGCUUGCAUUGAGAACCUUGAAAAGGCAAAGGGCAAAGAACUGGGUCAAAGUACACUGCUAAGUCUUCUGUACAGCAAUGUAAUUUUAAAGAUAUAAUUUAAAAUUUAAAAUUACAGGAAGGAAGAAAAAGAAGGAAGGAAGGAAGGAAGGGAAGAAGGAAUGAAGGAAGGAAAAGAAGGAAAGCAAGUAAGCUGAGGAAUGAGCCAGUAAACGGCUUUUCUCCACAGUCCUGCCUCUGUUCUUUCUUGAAUUCCUGCUCUAUCUUCCUUCAAUGCUGGGUUCUUAUUGGAACGUAUAAACCUAAUAAAGUUCUCCUUCCCUGGU